rnacentral:rRNA from 1 species
AUUGAACGCUGGCGGCAGGCUUAACACAUGCAAGUCGAACGGUAGCAGGAGAAAGCUUGCUUUCUUGCUGACGAGUGGCGGACGGGUGAGUAAUGCUUGGGAAUCUGUCUUAUGGAGGGGGAUAACUACGGGAAACUGUAGCUAAUACCGCGUAAUAUCUUCGGAUUAAAGAAUGGGACUUUUAGCCAUUCGCCAUAAGAUGAGCCCACGUGGGAUUAGGUAGUUGGUGGGGUAAAGGCCUACCAAGCCGACGAUCUCUAGCUGGUCUGAGAGGAUGACCAGCCACACUGGAACUGAGACACGGUCCAGACUCCUACGGGAGGCAGCAGUGGGGAAUAUUGCGCAAUGGGGGCAACCCUGACGCAGCCAUGCCGCGUGAAUGAAGAAGGCCUUCGGGUUGUAAAGUUCUUUCGGUGGUGAGGAAGGCUAAUAUGUUAAUAGCAUAUUAGAUUGACGUUAGCCACAGAAGAAGCACCGGCUAACUCCGUG